GUGAAUCAAACGGGUUCGACUCUGCAAAGAGAAGGCCCGAUCCACUAUCUUCACACACUUGUGCACCUGUCAUUUUUUUGACAACACACUUUUGAAGUCUAAACCGUCCUUGAAUGAAAUUGAUAACGAAAGA
rnacentral:misc_RNA from 1 species